UGAUUAAUGUCGUUUCCAUGGUACGAUUAUAGUUUUGUUAUGUUUAGGAAAACAAAUUGAAAAUGUGUGCAGUAGAAAAGACUGAUUCCGAGUACAAGAAAUUGAAUAUCGUGAUCGUGCAUUUAAACGAAAUUGAUGGGCUCUGCAUGGACUUAUUCUAUCGCUGCUAAUCUGGUGUACAAUGGAAUAUUUUAGCUUGUUUAAGGCAUCAUGAGGCCAUUGCAUUGUGCUGUACUCGGUUUUAUUUCACUUUUUAUUGCAACGGUGAGAGACAAAAUGGAGCCCAAAAAUCACUAAAAUGGUGUCUCAUUUUGAACGUUUUUCGAGAUUGCUUCAUAAAUAAUUAUCCAUAUAUUUCUCAAGUGUUUUGUGUAU
rnacentral:lncRNA from 1 species